GAGAUUGCUUAUGUUACUUCAAUAAGCCCUAACUACUUUUAUUUGUUAGGGAGGACAAACAAUUUCUUCCUUGACAACUGGGUGAUCGCACAGAGUUUCUCGAACCCAUCAGAAAACACACGUUCCAGAAUGCUUGCCUCAUGAAUACAUCCGAUAGGCCUGCUAUGUAUUUGGGAAUUAUUACUGAGGAAAAUAGGGUGCCUUCAAAAUAACAACUACUUUUGACUGCAACUAUAUUUCAGAUUCUAUAUCCUUCAAAAUGCAAAGUAAAUGAAUGUCUUCAUAUAAAAGCUGAAAAGAAUUACUUUAGGGGUCUACAGAUCCCAGAUUCAUGGUGAUUCCUCCUGAAAUUGAAGAGAAAGGAAAACAUGUGUGCACAGCUGUUGGAGGCAUUAGAAGCUGAAUUCCAGAGAUUCAUGUUCUAGGCACCUCUCAGCUCCUCUCGGGGUCAGUCCUCAAGGCGUGGACCUUCUGGACUUCCACCUGGGUUCCCUCCUUGAGAUGGCUAGGUUCUUGUAAUUUGGGUUCCCCAGGUGCGGUGUCUGCAAGACUCGUCUCUCCAAAAUCUAUCAGGGAGUUCAGUUCCUGAAUUAGGAAUUCAGUAGAUCCUGGGCCUAGUUGAGAUGGCCUGCUGAGAGGGGCACCUAUGCCUCAGGCCUCCUCCUCACAGGAACUGUUAAAGGAAUUUUGAAGAGAUGUUCUAAAUUUUUAUGGCGGGCUGAUUAAUCUCAAGUUCAUUUUAAUAGUAAUUAAAAUAAUGAUCAAUGUGUAAUAAAACAUAACCAACUACUAUUUUUUUCCAAUA